AUGAUUGAAUGCGGUUGCAACGCUAUGGGUAGUGUGUCUACUCUAUAUAUCACCGAGCGAGCGAGCGAGCUAGUGAUCACAAUCUUUCUUGUACCACUAAGCUAGUGGCCACAACUCGUUGGCAACGAGGAAGCAGCAAGCCGAGAAGCUACGCCGCGCCGCCGCCAUAUAUGGCACAGGCUGCCGGCACCGCCGAUGCCACUGAUGAGGCUCCACUGCUGCUGGCCUCGUCGGCGGCGGGGUCGACGCCGUCGCCGCCAGGUUCAGCACCGCGCCGGAACAGGUUCGCCUUCGUCUGCGCCACGCUCGCCUCCGUCACCACCAUGCUACAUGGCUACAACCUGACGCUGAUGAGCGGCGCGGAGCUGUUCAUGCGGGAGGACGUGGGGCUCACCGACGGCGAGGUCGAGGUGCUGGCGGGGUCCAUGAACGUGUUCAUGCUCGCGUCCAUCCUCGCCGCCGGCUGGGUGGCCGACCACCUGGGCCGCCGCCGCACCCUCGUGCUCGCCAACGCCUUCCUCAUGGCCGGCGCGCUCGCCAUGUCGCUCGGCACCAGCUUCGCCGCGCUCAUGGCGGCGCGCUUCGUCACCAGCGUCGGCUCCGGGUUCGCGCGCGUCGUCGCCCCCGUGUACAACGCCGAGAUAUCGCAGGCGGCCACGCGUGGCGUCCUCUCAUCCAUGCUCGACAUAUUCAUCAACGUCGGCAUCCUGCUCAGCUACGUGUCCAACUACGCGUUCGCGGGCCUCCCGGUGCACAUCGGGUGGCGUCUCAUGUACGCCAUCGGCGUCAUCCCGCCCGUGCUCAUCGCCGCCGGGGUGCUCGUCAUCAUGCCAGAGUCACCGCGGUGGCUCGCGAUGCAGGGCCGCCACGCCGACGCGCGCGCGGUGCUGUUGCGCACGUCGGACAGCCCGGCAGACGCCGACUUCCGGCUCGGGGAGAUCAAGCGAGCCGCCGACGCGCCGUCGCCCGCUGCUGCGGCGCGCCACGGUGGCGGCGGUGUCUGGAGGGAGCUCUUCGUCCGGCCAUCCACCACAACCACGAGCGUGCGGCGCGUCCUCGGCUGCGUCCUCGGGCUGCAGUUCUUCGUGCAGGCGUCCGGCGUCGACGCCAUCCUCCUCUACAGCCCGCUGGUCUUCAAGGCGGUCGGCGUGGCGUCCACCUCCGCCGUGCUCGGCGCCACCGUGUCCAUCGGAGCCGUCAAGACGUGCUUCGUCCUCGUCGCCAUGCUCUUCACCGACCGCCUCGGCCGGCGCCCGCUCCUCCUCGCCAGCACCGCCGGCGUCGCCGUGACCGCGACCGCCCUCGCCGUGACGCUGUGCGUGGGCACGGCGUCGCCGGCGACGGCCGCGGCGUGCCUGGCGUCCGUGCUGGCCUUCGUGGCCGCGUACUCCAUCGGCUACGGGUCCGUGGUGUCGACGUACAGCGCGGAGGUCUUGCCGCUACGGCUGCGCGCGCAGGGCUCCAGCCUGGGCGUGGCCGUGAACAGGCUCACGUGCGGCCGUGCGGGGUGGUCAGCAUGACGUUCAUCUCGCUCGCCGACGCCAUCACCAUGCCCGGGUGCUUCUUCCUCUACGCUGCGGUGACGGCGGCUGCGUUUGUGUUCGUGUACACGCGGCUGCCGGAGACCAAGGGCCGGAGCCUAGAAGACAUGGAAGUGCUCUUCCGCAAGUGAGGGUGGCCGGUGGCCACGUAUAGUUGCCAUUAGCACAAGGUCGCGUUCGGCAGAGUUAGUAGAAAUUAUCCACAAUUACCAGCAGAUUUGGAACUCCGGUCCCGCGCGCUCGUCGGUCGCAGCUACCCCCACGGUCCCACCUAGAGAUCUCAACAUCAGAUUUGAACACCAUAUACUACCCAUACCUAUGAAGUUAUAUAUAUCUAUCUCUAUUUCCGUACG